CCUCAAUUUCUUUUUUCAAUAUUUAGUAGAUUUUGCCUUCUGUUAUUUUAAUGAUACUAUAUUGGUAGUUCUCUAGUUAUUUAUAAGUAAAUAAUGUAAUAAUCCCUGAGUUUUUAAUUUGUUCAUUUCAUGUUCUUCUUAGGUAAUAUUUUUAAUGAUUCUUAUUUGAUAAAUUAUUUGAUAAUACAGUGUUAAGUCUUAUGCUCCAUGAUUGAAGAAUUUUGAUCAUAUCUGAAGAGUUGUUAUGAUAAGCUGAUAAAGGAAAGAUUAGUAAUGUGGUAGUAAUUUGUUUUUGCAUGUAAAGAACCUACAACAUGGUUAAUUGCAAGGCUUCACCCCAGCAAUAAUAAAAUAACUUGAAUUUGGAGACAUUCUAGGACUCUUGAACAUUUAGAAAUAAAGCCAUAUUACUUUCUAUAGAUUCACAACAUGUUAAAGGUAAGAUGUUAAAAACUUCAAGGGUCCACUUUCCGCCAUCUUUCCGUGCCGCCAUAAUGGUGCCCAUGAAUGUCCUGGCUGAUGCUCUAAAGCGCAUCAACAAUGCCGAAAAGAGAGGCAGACGCCAGGUUCUUAUAAGGCCGUGCUCCAAAGUCAUUGUCCGGUUUCUAACUGUGAUGAUGAAGCAUGAUUACAUUGGCUAAUUUGAAAUCAUGGAUGGUCACAGAGCUGGGAAAAUUGUUGUGAACCUCACAGACAGGUUAAACAAGUGUGGAGGGAUCAGCCCCAGAUUUGAUGUGCAACUCAAAGCUCUAGAAAAAUGGCAGAAUAAUCUGCUCCCAUCCCGCCAGUUUGAUUUCAUUGUGUUGACAACUUCAGCUGGCAUCAUGGGCCAUGAAGAAGCAAGAAGAAAACACACAGGAGGGAAAAUUCUGGGAUUCUUUUUCUAGGGAUGUAAUACAUACUUACAAAUAAAAUGCCUCAGUGGACUCUGGUGCUUCUAAAAAAAAAAAAAAAAA